rnacentral:rRNA from 1 species
CCUCGGAGGGAUCAUUA